GGCCGUGCGAGCGGCGGACGGGUGAGUAAUGCCUAGGAAAUUGCCCUGAUGUGGGGGAUAACCAUUGGAAACGAUGGCUAAUACCGCAUGAUGCCUACGGGCCAAAGAGGGGGACCUUCGGGCCUCUCGCGUCAGGAUAUGCCUAGGUGGGAUUAGCUAGUUGGUGAGGUAAGGGCUCACCAAGGCGACGAUCCCUAGCUGGUCUGAGAGGAUGAUCAGCCACACUGGAACUGAGACACGGUCCAGACUCCUACGGGAGGCAGCAGUGGGGAAUAUUGCACAAUGGGCGCAAGCCUGAUGCAGCCAUGCCGCGUGUAUGAAGAAGGCCUUCGGGUUGUAAAGUACUUUCAGUCGUGAGGAAGGCGGCGUCGUUAAUAGCGGCAUUAUUUGACGUUAGCGACAGAAGAAGCACCGGCUAACUCCGUGCCAGCAGCCGCGGUAAUACGGAGGGUGCGAGCGUUAAUCGGAAUUACUGGGCGUAAAGCGCAUGCAGGUGGUUUGUUAAGUCAGAUGUGAAAGCCCGGGGCUCAACCUCGGAAUAGCAUUUGAAACUGGCAGACUAGAGUACUGUAGAGGGGGGUAGAAUUUCAGGUGUAGCGGUGAAAUGCGUAGAGAUCUGAAGGAAUACCGGUGGCGAAGGCGGCCCCCUGGACAGAUACUGACACUCAGAUGCGAAAGCGUGGGGAGCAACAGGAUUAGAUACCCUGGUAGUCCACGCCGUAACGAUGUCUACUUG
rnacentral:rRNA from 1 species